GGGAUUAUCCCUGAAUCCUGCUUCCAGGGAGCCUGUGAUGGGGGAGCCUGGAGCAAGAAGGGCAAAGGACAAGGAUCUUUGCUGAAAGGUGGCCUGACUUCUGGCUUUUGGGAGCAUGCUGGGCAGAGUGGAAAUUUUGUGUCCUCUGAUUCCAAUGAUGCCUCUGCAAGUUGACUGGGGGAAGCUUCCUCCUGGGGUGCCCGUGGUGCUGGGCUCAUCUUCAG